UGGGGAAUAUUGGACAAUGGGCGAAAGCCUGAUCCAGCAACGCCGCGUGAGGGAUGAAUGCCUUCGGGUUGUAAACCUCUUUCGCCUGCGACGAAGCGAGAGUGACGGUAGCAGGUAAAGAAGCACCGGCCAACUACGUGCCAGCAGCCGCGGUAAUACGUAGGGUGCGAGCGUUGUCCGGAAUUAUUGGGCGUAAAGGGCUCGUAGGCGGUUUGUCACGUCGGGAGUGAAAACUCAGGGCUUAACUCUGAGCUGGCUUCCGAUACGGGCAGACUAGAGGUAUGCAGGGGAGAACGGAAUUCCUGGUGUAGCGGUGAAAUGCGCAGAUAUCAGGAGGAACACCGGUGGCGAAGGCGGUUCUCUGGGCAUUACCUGACGCUGAGGAGCGAAAGUGUGGGGAGCGAACAGG
rnacentral:rRNA from 2 species